AACGAACGCUGGCGGCAGGCUUAACACAUGCAAGUCGAACGCCCCGCAAGGGGAGUGGCAGACGGGUGAGUAACACGUGGGAACAUGCCCAAAGGUACGGAAUAUUCUCGGGAAACUGGGAGCAAUACCGUAUGUGCCCGAAAGGGGAAAGAUUUAUCGCCUUUGGAUUGGCCCGCGUUGGAUUAGCUAGUUGGUGGGGUAAAAGCCUACCAAGGCGACGAUCCAUAGCUGGUCUGAGAGGACGACCAGCCACACUGGGACUGAGACACGGCCCAGACUCCUACGGGAGGCAGCAGUGGGGAAUCUUGGACAAUGGGCGCAAGCCUGAUCCAGCCAUGCCGCGUGAGUGAUGAAGGCCCUAGGGUUGUAAAACUCUUUCGUGGGGGACGAUAAUGACGGUACCCCAAGAAGAAGCUCCGGCUAACUUCGUG
rnacentral:rRNA from 2 species